UACGUAGGGUCCGAGCGUUGUCCGGAAUUAUUGGGCGUAAAGCGUCCGCAGGUGGCAAUGUAAGUCUGCUGUCAAAGCGUCUGGCUCAACCAGAUAAAGGCAGUGGAAACUACAUAGCUAGAGUAAGGUAGGGGUAGAGGGAAUUCCUGGUGUAGCGGUGAAAUGCGUAGAGAUCAGGAAGAACACCGGUGGCGAAAGCGCUCUGCUGGACCUUAACUGACACUGAGGGACGAAAGCUAGGGGAGCGAAUGGG
rnacentral:rRNA from 1 species